AUUGAACGCUGGCGGCAUGCCUUACACAUGCAAGUCGAACGGUAACAGGUCUUCGGAUGCUGACGAGUGGCGAACGGGUGAGUAAUAUAUCGGAACGUGCCCAGUCGUGGGGGAUAACGCAGCGAAAGCUGUGCUAAUACCGCAUACGAUCUAUGGAUGAAAGCGGGGGAUCGCAAGACCUCGCGCGAUUGGAGCGGCCGAUAUCAGAUUAGGUAGUUGGUGGGGUAAAGGCCCACCAAGCCAACGAUCUGUAGCUGGUCUGAGAGGACGACCAGCCACACUGGAACUGAGACACGGUCCAGACUCCUACGGGAGGCAGCAGUGGGGAAUUUUGGACAAUGGGCGCAAGCCUGAUUCAGCAAUGCCGCGUGCAGGAUGAAGGCCUUCGGGUUGUAAACUGCUUUUGUACGGAACGAAAAGGCUCUGGUUAAUACCUGGGGCUCAUGACGGUACCGUAAGAAUAAGCACCGGCUAACUACGUGCCAGCCGCCGCCGUAACAC
rnacentral:rRNA from 1 species